AUUGAACGCUGGCGGCAUGCUUUACACAUGCAAGUCGAACGGUGACAGGCCGCAAGGUGCUGACGAGUGGCGAACGGGUGAGUAAUGCAUCGGAACGUGCCCAGUCGUGGGGGAUAACUACUCGAAAGAGUAGCUAAUACCGCAUACGAUCUAUGGAUGAAAGCGGGGGACCGUAAGGCCUCGCGCGAUUGGAGCGGCCGAUGUCAGAUUAGGUAGUUGGUGGGGUAAAGGCUCACCAAGCCAACGAUCUGUAGCUGGUCUGAGAGGACGACCAGCCACACUGGGACUGAGACACGGCCCAGACUCCUACGGGAGGCAGCAGUGGGGAAUUUUGGACAAAGGGCGCAAGCCUGAUCCAGCAAUGCCGCGUGCAGGAAGAAGGCCUUCGGGUUGUAAACUGCUUUUGUACGGAACGAAACGGCUCUGGUUAAUACCCGGGGCUAAUGACGGUACCGUAAGAAUAAGCACCGGCUAACUACGUG
rnacentral:rRNA from 1 species